rnacentral:rRNA from 1 species
AUUGAACGCUGGCGGCAUGCCUUACACAUGCAAGUCGAACGGUAACAGGUCUUCGGAUGCUGACGAGUGGCGAACGGGUGAGUAAUACAUCGGAACGUGCCCGAUCGUGGGGGAUAACGGAGCGAAAGCUUUGCUAAUACCGCAUACGAUCUACGGAUGAAAGCAGGGGACCGCAAGGCCUUGCGCGGACGGAGCGGCCGAUGGCAGAUUAGGUAGUUGGUGGGGUAAAAGCUUACCAAGCCGACGAUCUGUAGCUGGUCUGAGAGGACGACCAGCCACACUGGGACUGAGACACGGCCCAGACUCCUACGGGAGGCAGCAGUGGGGAAUUUUGGACAAUGGGCGAAAGCCUGAUCCAGCCAUGCCGCGUGCAGGAUGAAGGCCUUCGGGUUGUAAACUGCUUUUGUACGGAACGAAAAGACUCUUUCUAAUAAAGAGGGUCCAUGACGGUACCGUAAGAAUAAGCACCGGCUAACUACGUG